rnacentral:rRNA from 1 species
GAUGAACGCUGGCGGCGUGCCUAAUAAAUGCAAGUCGAGCGAACGGACGAGAAGCUUGCUUUUCUGAUGUUAGCGGCGGACGGGUGAGUAACACGUGGAUAACCUACCUAUAAGACUGGGAUAACUUCGGGAAACCGGAGCUAAUACCGGAUAAUAUUUUGAACCGCAUGGUUCAAAAGUGAAAGACGGUCUUGCUGUCACUUAUAGAUGGAUCCGCGCUGCAUUAGCUAGUUGGUAAGGUAACGGCUUACCAAGGCAACGAUGCAUAGCCGACCUGAGAGGGUGAUCGGCCACACUGGAACUGAGACACGGUCCAGACUCCUACGGGAGGCAGCAGUAGGGAAUCUUCCGCAAUGGGCGAAAGCCUGACGGAGCAACGCCGCGUGAGUGAUGAAGGUCUUCGGAUCGUAAAACUCUGUUAUUAGGGAAGAACAUAUGUGUAAGUAACUGUGCACAUCUUGACGGUACCUAAUCAGAAAGCCACGGCUAACUACGUG